rnacentral:tRNA from 1 species
GGCCGGCUGGCCUAAUGGUUAAGGCGUCAGUUUCCGGGGAUACCCUUAGUUAGCUGAAGAUUCUGAGUUCGAAUCUCAGGUUGGUCG